AAGUUAAGUCGGUUAAGUGAAGAAGAAAAAUAAAGGAAUGAAAAACCGUGGGAGAGGAAGAAAGAAAUGAAGAGAAAAAGGGAGAGAAAGAACCGUGGGAGAGGAAGAGAAAAGAGAACGGUUUUGCUGCACUUUGAGGAAGGAAAAAGAGAGCUUUUGCUGUAAUUUUUGGAGGAAGAAGAAAGCAGAAAAUUUGUGAGGUAAGAAAG
rnacentral:lncRNA from 1 species